UAUCUCUGUAGAGUCUGCAUAUCAAUAAGCGGAGGAAAAGAAACUAACAAGGAUUCCCUUAGUAACGGCGAGUGAAGCGGGAAGAGCUCAAAUUUGAAAUCUUCAAGGUUCUACCUUGAGAGAAUUGUAGUUUAAAGAAGUGUUUUCUGUUAGAUGAGUAGCAAAAGUUCCUUGGAAUGGGACAUCAUAGAGGGUGAGAAUCCCGUAUUUGACCUAUUAUUUCUAGCUUUGUGAUACACUUUCAAAGAGUCGGAUUGUUUGGGAAUGCAGUCCAAAAUGGGUGGUAAAUUUCAUCUAAAGCUAAAUAUUGGCGAGAGACCGAUAGCGAACAAGUACCGUGAGGGAAAGAUGAAAAGAACUUUGAAAAGAGAGUUAAACAGUACGUGAAAUUGUCAAAAGGGAAGCGUUUGACACCAGUGUUGUUUUCUCGAAAAUCAAUUAAAAAAAGUUGGAUUUUGUAUUGUUAAGACCUUAUCAGCUUACUGUACUCUUUUCUUGCUUUUUUUAAUGCACUUUUCGUUUAACAAGUCAACAUCAAUUUCUUUUGUUGUAAAAGAGUCAUUGGAAGGUGGCUUUCACUUCGGUGAAAGUGUUUAUAGCCUUUGGCUUCUGCAAUCGGAGAGAUUGAGGUCUGCAGCGUAGAUCCUUCGGGGCUAGAUACGUAGAUGCUAAGUUAUAGUUUUUUAUAGACAACUUGUUGACUAUAAUUAAUCAUGUAGCUUACUCGUUUGCGCUAUUUUACCUACGCUUAGGAUGUUGACGAGACUGUCGAUCUC
rnacentral:rRNA from 1 species